rnacentral:rRNA from 1 species
GUGCACCAGGCGCGAACCUCCGCAAUACACGAAAGUGUGACGGGCCAUCCCGAGUGCCGUCCGCUGAGGACGGCUUUCCCCAGUGUACAUAGCUGGGGGAAUAAGGAGAGGGCAAGCCUGGUGUCAGCCGCCGCGGUAAUACCAGCUCUCCGAGUGGUGGGGACGCUUAUUGGGCCUAAAGCAUCCGUAGCCGGCUGGGCAAGUCCUCCGUUAAAUCCAACGAGUCAAUCGUUGGGCUGCGGGGGAUACUGUCCAGCUUGGGGACGGGAGAGGCCGACGGUAUUCCCGGGUAGGGGUGGAAAUCCUAUAAUCCCGGGAGGACCACCAGUGGCGAAGGCUGUCGGCUAGAACGCGCCCGACGGUGAGGGAUGAAAGCUGGGGGAGCGAACCGGAUUAGAUACCCCGU